GAAUUGACCCUUGGUAUUUUCUUUGAUUUGUGAACUUGAAAUCUGAGGGAAAUCCAACAAGCCUGUAGCAUUGUUCGACAACACGACCUGGCUUCUUGCACUAUGAACAGGUAGAGUUGUUUUUCUUUCCCUCAUACCCAUGUUUUUCUCAAAAUCCCUCACAUUGUUUCUCUUACCAACUGUCCCAUGUUGUGCAUCAAUAAAGGAGGCUGGUUCUCCGGGAUAAACAGGAGAAGCAUAUAUUUCUCUUUGCUUUUCAUCCUGGAUAACCAUAGAGUAAGCUUGGCCAAGAGAAGGCAAAGGGAAGUCAACAGUAUGUUGCUUCUUACACAUAUGUAGGUGUCAUUCAGGCCCAUUAAAAAUUGCAGCAGUCUCUGGUCUUGGUGCGUUUUCAGAUUUUUCCGUUAGCUCAACAUACACAUUCACAUGAACAAGUAGAAAAAUUGAUCAAGGUAUUUAGUUCAUGCUUAUCUUAGCCUGGGCCUUAGAUUCUGGUUACUGUUAUUGCAUGUCAUUCAUCUUUUCGUUUUUAUGCUUCUGUUACUAUUACGGUUUCUAGUGGAGUUACUAAUGAAUUCUCUUUUCUUGUUUUUUAUUUUAUUUUUGUAGGGUCUAUCGGAAACAACCUCUCUGCCCCUAUCGGGGCAGGGGUAAGGUCUGCGUACACAUUACCCUCCCCAGACCCCAAUAUGUGGUAUUUUACUGGGUAGUAGUAGUAGUUGUUGUUGUUGUAUUUAGUUCAUCCCACAAACUUUUCAUUUUUGUGAAAUAACUUGAAACACUAAAGUUACCUUGAACCACAACGCUUAGUUCUUUCUGUAGUUGAAAAAGUGUAGCCCCAUUUGUCUGACCAAAUCUAUCUUCUAAUUCAUUCCACAGAUCUUUUACAUUGUGAGAGUAAAGAACACUUUCUGCAAUUUCUUUUGACAGAGAGUUAAGGAGCCAAGACAACACCAUGUCAUUUCCUCUAGCCCAAGCGCUUUGAAGACCAGAGUUUUCAUCUAGAAUGAAAAGAGUUCCAUCUAUGAAACCUAGUUUAUUCUUGGUAGAAAGAGCUAUGACUACUGCUCUACGCCAAGCUCCAUAGCUUUUGCCAUCAAAAGCUGAGGAAACAAGGUUCAUGCCUGGGUAGUCUGAAGGAUGAAGAAAGAAAGGGUGUGAUGAAUCAAUGACACCUUUCUUGGUUGAAUCAGUUGUUGCUGCAACUACAGCUUCUGUUGUGUCUCCCAUUGUAAGGAAGAGAGCAAAAUUGAAAGAUGAAUAAGGGUUUCAAAUAUCAGGUUGUUCGACCUGCUCUGAUACCAUGUAGAAACAGAGAAAAUUUGAACCCAAUAUGAAUUGGUGUAUGUUGUAUUAAAUCGAAAUAUUAUGUACAAUGUAGCUAAUUUAUACAAUUUACUCUAUGUACUACUCCUAUAUGUGUCCAUGUAUAAUUUGCAUUUCUCUAACAGAUUUUGUCAUACUGUGCAUAAAAAAUAUAUACAAGGAAAUAUCAAAUACAUCUAAG
rnacentral:lncRNA from 1 species